ensembl:lncRNA
AUGCGAGAGUUAUUUCAUGUCAUAGUGCAACAGACAAGACACCAAAAGGCCAAAGCAGUUAAAAACUUCAAUCCCAAAGUGGGACAUAACCUGACUGAAGAGGUAGACAAGUCAAGCCUUUUUAGCUCCAAGACAGGACAUGAGGAUGAAGCCAAAUCAUUGUUUAAACACCGUGUGGGUACUGCCAUAUCUGUACAGGCCAUCCACAGCCUCUCUUGGACACAGUGGAAGCUUUGUCAGGCAUGUGAUGUCACUGACACCACAGUAACCCGGUACCCCCUGCUGGAUCUCGUCUCCACCCCCAGAGGAGGUCACCUCCCAAAAGGAGAUCUGGAGUUCCAUGAACACUACCAACACUGCACCAGGAGUUAUUCAGCAGAAAAUACACAUGCAAUUGAAAAGAUGACAGAGCACAAGAUAUCUAGACAUUCUCUCAGUAUGUGCCAAGAAAAACCCAAUGGUUGUGGCCCAACAACAAAGAAACAGCAGGUGAGAGGUUCUGAAAGCAAAGUUUAAACCAGGAGGCUGAAAAAAGCAGUCCUACAUAAUAGCAUUCUUCAAUGGUCCUGCUUUUAUACACUCUGUCAGAUAAGAGUUUCACUGCAUGAUUGAUUAAACUCUGUGGGGAAAAGGGGAUUAUAUUUAUUAGUAUCUGGUAACAUUUUGAAGCAGAUUAAGUUUAUAUAAGUUGGAUUCUGCCUAAUCAAAACAGAAUCAGUGCUGCUGACAUUUAAGAUUAAAGACACUAUGAGGCAAUUUUAAAAUGAAAACCAAGGAAAUUAUGCCAGAUGUGGAAAAUAAAUUGUUCGGAUUGAUCUAUUUGUGUGGUCUGAAAUCACAGAAAGCCUAUGACUUAGAAAAAGGGAUAGGAUAGAAGGUAAGAAAAAUACAGAGAAAAAACAAUAACCUGGAUAAACAGAGCAUAUAAAACUGUGCAACCAAAUCAAGACAAAUGCUUUGUUUUAUUUUACUUUAUUUGCUAAUAUGAAUCUUGCCUCAGAGUCUAUUUUUUAGCCACUGUAUUGCUUCUUGAAGUUGUUUAUGAAAGCACUUGCAAGAAAACAAACAGAUUUACUCCUGAAGAAUAUACAAGACCUAGUACAAGUUGAACCAGUGAAAGGCACAAAUACAAUAAUGUUUUAAGGAAAAACUGGCAAAAAUAAGGUUAAUAAGCUGUUAAAGGAUGAAAUGUUUUCAUUGGACAAAGGAGCUGUUUAAAGUAUCAUAUACAAAUUUAAAAAGUGAACUUAGGCCUCUUGUAAGUCUACUCAUGCUAUAGAGUUAUUGUAGCCUUAAUGUUCUGAGAAAAGUAAAUGAGGCAAGAAUGAUCUUUUCCAACUAAAUUUUACUGUUUAAUAAAACAUACUUACUUUCUUUUCAAGCCUUUCAUAACCUAUACUAUUACUCAAUUGCUUUCUUAUAAUAUAAAUCUGCAAAGGAAUUUAAACAUUCAAUUGCUGAACAAGUAAUUGAGGUAAAUAAUCAAAGGCAUUAGCAGGCCUCAGCAUCAGAGAAAAAGAAAUACCAAAUGAAAGAUUUUGAAGAGUACUCAGAGAACUAUCCAGGGAACUACU